rnacentral:rRNA from 1 species
GUGACCUCAAAUCAGGUAGGACUACCCGCUGAACUUAAGCAUAUCAAUAAGCGGAGGAAAAGAAACUAACAAGGAUUCCCCUAGUAACUGCGAGUGAAGCGGGAAAAGCUCAAAUUUAAAAUCUGGCGGUCUUUUGGCUGUCCGAGUUGUAAUCUAGAGAAGUGUUAUCCGCGCUGGACCGUGUACAAGUCUCCUGGAAUGGAGCAUCAUAGAGGGUGAGAAUCCCGUCUUUGACAUGGACUGCCAGGGCUUUGUGAUGCGCUCUCAAAGAGUCGAGUUGUUUGGGAAUGCAGCUCAAAAUGG